ACUCCGUAACUUCGGGAUAAGGAGGGCCGUUAUUACAGAAAAAUAUUUCUGUUAAAUAAGAGGAAACAUGAAAUAAUGUUGUACGACUGUUUAAUUAAAACAAAUCACUCUGCAAAGAUUAAAAAUCAAAGUAUUGAGUGUGAUGUCUGCCCAAUGUCGGUUGUAUAACUGAGAUACUUAAUUUAAAAGGUUAGGUUUUGAAGGACACUCCGAUCAAUGGCGGCCUUAUCUGCUUUGAGGUGUAGGAUAUCUCAUCCGCGGAUAGAACUAUCAAACUCCGGAGAAGCCCUAAAGAUCCUGGUACCAAACAUCAAUCGAAAGAUUGA
rnacentral:ncRNA from 1 species